GGGUUCCAAAACUGACACGCCGCGGAAACAACCACCGAAAGUGGCAACCUACAUAAGCCCUUGGUGUAUCUUGCCUCCUAAGAGCGUCUCGGUGCACGUAUUUCCCUUCCAAAAAAGAAGAACGGGAAAGGAGAUGUUAAAGGCAAGCAGAGAGAGGAAAACUGUUGCAAAACAAAAGCUUAGCUCUCGUCCUAGGGACGCCUCCUCCAUUGGAGGCCUAGGAAAUCAUUCUGACAAAAUGGAGGAUCUCUGUCUUUGGUGUCGAUUCCCUCAAAGGUCAAGAGAAACCUUUUCCAAUGUCUUUAUCAGGAGGAGACUAGAAGUUAGAGAAAAGUAUC
rnacentral:lncRNA from 1 species